rnacentral:rRNA from 1 species
UACGGAGGGUGCGAGCGUUGUCCGGAAUCACUGGGCGUAAAGGGCGCGUAGGUGGCUCGUGAAGCGUGCGGUGAAAGUCCGAGGCUCAACCUCGGAUCGGCCGUGCGGACUCGCGGGCUCGAGCGUUGUAGAGGCGGGUGGAAUUCCGGGUGUAGCGGUGGAAUGCGUAGAGAUCCGGAAGAACACCGGUGGCGAAGGCAGCCCUCUGGGCCAACACUGACGCUCAGGCACGAAAGCGUGGGGAGCAAACAGG